CCGACCAGUCAGCGGCCGCGGAGCCGCAGCCAACCCGGGCGCGCCGGGGGUAGGGCCGCAGCUGGGCGCAGCUGGGCGCGGAAGCGAGGGGCGUUGGCGCGUCUCCGCCCGCCUCGCUCCGCCCCGGCCAGUGCACUGUGCCCGCCUCACGGAAGGACGGGCCGCGGCGCCUCCCACGUCAGUCUCGUUUUACCGUCCUGUGCAAUGGGCCGAGGUCUUCUGCCGCCAGAGCCAGAAACGGGCAUUUCUUCAGCACGCACCGUCAAGCGCCUACUGUAUGCAAGGAACGCUAGGGCGCCGGGCCAGGGAGCCAGCGCUUGGUGGGCACUUGGACACCAGGGCUCCCUCGUUGGGACCUGUUUCCGCUGGGCCAGCUUACACAGCCCUCCCGCGUGCAGAGGUGCCGAGGACCGUGCGUACACCUGCCGUGUGCCAACUGGUGCCGUGCCCCGGGGAGGAGAAACGCCUGACCCCCGGGAGCUCCCGUUCUCCCGAGGGGGAGGACACUACACUGAUGACAGUGACCCUAAGAGUCACUGUAAGAUUUGGUGAGCACCGAGUAUCUGUCAGGCGCCGGCCCAGGCGCUAGCCGGCUGCAUUUCAUUUACUCGUACCAACCAGCGAUGCCGUCUCUCCAGAGGCCCUUUCUGACCACGUCGCCCAAAGCUGCCCCCUCCUCCGGUCACUGUGACAUCACCCUGUUUUGCCUUCACAAUGCCGGCCCUGGGCAAUGAUGAACUUGCAGUUCACAUCUCCCCCUCCAGAAAUCUAGCCCCUGAGGGCCAGGACUUGCUUUGUUCCCGAGUGAACCCCACAGUCUUGAUGAGAGGAGGGCGCACGGUGGGUUCAGGAAACGGUUGCUGAGAGAAUUAAGGCUCAGUCACGCACCUGUGCUCCCUCGGCAGGGCUCCUCUGGCCGUGAGUGCGGAGUGGACUCGGGGACCGCGCUGAGGCAAGAGGCCGGGGAGGAGACGACGGGAGUCCAGGUUUACUGCGAGGUUCCCAGUGAGUGUAGCGAGAGGUAGAGCACCUGGCAGGCAGGAGGCCCUGCAGAGAUGUUUGUUACCUGCCCCGCUGUUACGCUUGACUGGGACGGUGGUGGGAGGAGACCCACUCCUUCGCCUGACCUUCAAGGCCCUGCAGAUCGGGCCCUGCUGACUCUCUAGUUUCCUCUCCCAGUGUCUCCUACUGUUCGGGAGUGCAGGGCC